rnacentral:lncRNA from 1 species
ACUCUUUUGUCGGUCCUGGGCUGCCUUGAUUCUAGCUCUUAUUUUAUCAACCGCUCGACUAGUUUCUUCAAUUAUUUCGGGUCCUAGAACUCUUCUUUCACCUACUUCAUCCCAAUAAAGGGGAGCUCUACAUCUUCUGCCAUAAAGGGCUUCGUAAGGUGCCAUCUUUAUCGUAGCUUGGUAGCUAUUAUUAUAGGCAAACUCUACCAGUGGCACAUAGUUUUCC